GAUGAACGCUAGCUACAGGCUUAACACAUGCAAGUCGAGGGGUAACAAGAGAAAAGCUUGCUUUUCUUGUUGACGACCGGCGCACGGGUGAGUAACGCGUAUCCAACCUGCCUAUAACUAGGGAAUAACCUUGCGAAAGUAAGACUAAUACCCUAUGAUUUCUUUUGAUGACAUCAGAUUAGGAAUAAAGAUUUAUCGGUUAUAGAUGGGGAUGCGUCUGAUUAGCUUGUUGGCGGGGUAACGGCCCACCAAGGCAACGAUCAAUAGGGGUUCUGAGAGGAAGGUCCCCCAAAUUGGAACAGAGACACGGGCCAAAAACCUACGGGAGGCAGCAGUGAGGAAUAUUGGUCAAUGGGCGGAAGCCUGAACCAGCCAAGUAGCGUGCAGGAUGACGGCCCUAUGGGUUGUAAACUGCUUUUAUACAGGAAUAAAGUUAGCCACGUGUGGUUAUUUGUAGGUACUGUAUGAAUAAGGACCGGCUAAUUCCGUGCCAGCCGCCGCAGUAA
rnacentral:rRNA from 1 species